rnacentral:rRNA from 1 species
CCUACGGGUGGCAGCAGUAAGGGAUAUUGGUCAAUGGGGGAAACCCUGAACCAGCAACGCCGCGUGAGGGAAGACGGUUUUCGGAUUGUAAACCUCUGUCCUCUGUGAAGAUGAUGACGGUAGCAGAGGAGGAAGCUCCGGCUAACUACGUGCCAGCAGCCGCGGUAAUACGUAGGGAGCGAGCGUUGUCCGGAUUUACUGGGUGUAAAGGGUGCGUAGGCGGCUUGGCAAGUCAGUAGUGAAAUCCAUGGACUUAACCCAUGAACUGCUAUUGAAACUGUCGAGCUUGAGUGAAGUAGAGGUAGGCGGAAUUCCCGGUGUAGCGGUGAAAUGCAUAGAUAUCACGCAGAACUCCGAUUGCGAAGGCAGCAUACCGGCGCCCGACUGACGCUGAGGCACGAAAGCGUGGGGAUCGAACAGGAUUAGAUACCCGGGUAGUC